rnacentral:rRNA from 1 species
UAGGGAAUCUUCGGCAAUGGACGAAAGUCUGACCGAGCAACGCCGCGUGAGUGAAGAAGGUUUUCGGAUCGUAAAACUCUGUUGUUAGAGAAGAACAAGGACGUUAGUAAAUGAACGUCCCCUGACGGUAUCUAACUAGAAAGCCACGGCUAACUACGUGCCAGCAGCCGCGGUAAUACGUAGGUGGCAAGCGUUGCUCGGAUUUAUUGGGCGUAAAGCGAGCGCAGGCGGUUGCUUAAGUCUGAUGUGAAAGGCCCCGGCUCAACCGGGUAGGUUCAUUGGGAACUGGGAGAAUUUAUUUCAGAAAAGGAGAGUGGAAUUCCAUGUGUAGCAGUGAAAUGCGUAUAUAUAUGGAGGAACACCAGUGGCGAAGGCGGCUCUCUGGUCUGUAACUGACACUGAGGCUCGAAAGCGUGGGGAGCAAACAGG